rnacentral:lncRNA from 1 species
UGCAGAAGAGCCAGACCAACCAUGAUGACGACAGCAGCGACGAUGAGGAGGAGCAGGUUGAGGGCCCUCGCAUGGGUGCCCUUAGGCUGCUAAAUGCCAUCAAGGGUCAAGUGGGGGAGCAGUCCAAUCCAUCUUCUGAACCAACGAGUUAAUCGGUACAUAAUGUAAUCGAUUCAUCGGCUCAGCCUCGCUCCCAAAAGCAAAAGAUUCCACUUGAGCUAUUCUCGUUCUAACGACAGAAGCUGAUUCAAGCAUUCGUUCAGAGUCGACUUCCUUUAUCGACACGACAGCAAGAGCAGAGCAGGGAAGGAGCUGUGAGGUAUUACCUGUUGGUUGAGGAAGAGAAGUAGACAAAUCCGAUGCUAGUCUUUUCGCCUUUGCUUCUGCCACUUGUCUUGGCACAGAUGUUCUCGAAUAAACUGUUUGCGCCUUUUUCGCUGUUAAGGAUAUUUUUUUUUCUUUUAACAGGUGCCUAGCGCUUUCAAAAGAAAGUAAGUAAAGGAGGUAAAGGCAUUCUUUCGCUUUCCCUGGCCCUUAUAUAGUGUUAAACCCUGCCCUACUAGGACAUGAAAUUAACAAUUUCAUUUCCUUGCCUUCCCCAUGGGCAAGAUGUAUCAAUUCCACACUUCCCUUCCCCAGCUUGAAGAGGAUUAUGUCCGAACUGAUUUCCGACUCUAAAGCAUACUACUAUUUCCAAAGGCCGACAAGGAGGAAGCGGGGAUGGCACAAGUGAAUCCGAUGUGGGACUUCUGCCUUUCUUUUCGGAUCAAAGAGAAGAGAAAAUGGCAAGUGCUAUCGAAUUCGAAGCUGUUAGCAUGUUAGCGCACUUUCCUGUGUGACUGGGACUUCAUGCUUAGCAAGUCGGAUGCUUCCUAAUCUUAUAUAGGAUAGGACCAGUUUUCCACUUAAGCCGCCAAUGCUAGUAAGACUUUCAUUAGAAUCCGAUUUUCGGCAUCAAAGAGCACGUGGGACAGGUGAGGGAAGGAUUGCUGCUAGAGUCGAAACUAGGGCUUGUGCAAUUGAAUCAGAAAAGGCUGCACAUGUAAGAUAAGAAUGGAAGGAGACAGCCAAAGCAGGGAUUGAUUGCCCAAUUCCAAAACCACUAGGCAGGGACUUUUCCCUAAGCCAUUUUCAGUAGACAGACAAGGAAAAAGAAAAAAAGCAUUCUUCUCAAGAUUAGAGCAAGCAUUAGAUGAAGCCGAGUUUGUCCAUCUCGCAUAUUCGAGAACAAAUAGCCUUCAGAUUGUGAAAAGGAAUUGAGUCGACUGCCCAGAUGUUUGCAAGAGGCAAGAGAUGGCCCUUGCUCUUCUUUAGGAGUAGCACGUAGCACUAUGACUUUCAUUUGAGGAAGAAUAGGUGGCAAAAAUGCCUUUCUUUCGAGAAAAAGAAUAGUAAGGCAAGUAACUGAUUGCACUAAGACUUAAUGCCCGAGGACAUAGUAAUAGAAUAGGAAAUUGCCCCUUCUCAGACUAGUUCAAAACUAAGAGGACAGCUUUCAAAGCAAGAAGCAAGUGGAAGAAUGGCUUGUUACAGUGAAUCAGAAAAGGAAGAAUGCACAGUUAGAAGGACAACUAAUUGAGUCUUGGGUCUCCCACGUAUGGGUGGCAGGUAUCAGUCACUAGGCACAUAGGUAAAGGUUUCAAACCGUUAGCAAGGCUACGAACCUUCUCGAAGGCUUAUAGAAGAGUGCUUGCUUCUCAGAUCAAUAGUAUAAAGAUACCCACGCACAGAAGGAGCCGCUAGAGAAUAGGGUGUGGGGGAAUGCGCUCUCAUGUUAUAUGCCCUCUUGCUGCGACGAAUGGAAUGCCUUGUUCUCUUAGGCCAAAUAGGCAAGAGAUCUAAUCAACGGAGUAAAGCUAGGAAUUGAUGCCAAGAAUCAGACAUGGGACAGACACAGAUUAGCGGAAUAAAGGCUUCGGCCCUGUUUGCGCACGAAUGGCUUGUUUGCAGGAAUUGGUAGAAGAUAUCCACGUGCAGAGACUGUUAGGGAGGUUUGGAUUGCAGCUAGCUAGGGAUUGGGGUAGGGGAUAAAGGCAUCUAAUGCAAUGAAGAAGACAAUGCGCAAAGGACUGCUUUCGAUUCUUUCUUGUCUAUCGGAUUCUGUUGAGAAGAAGGGACAACCAUCCGACCCGAAGCCUUUCUCCUAACCAAGUAAUAGAGCUCUACUAACGGAAGUAGCGUAGAGAGGAUUUGGCUAACUCAAUUGAUAAGGAAAGGGUAUCGGUAUCGUAAGGGUCGUAGCGGAGAUGCAAGAUC